UACGUAGGGCGCAAGCGUUGUCCGGAAUUAUUGGGCGUAAAGAGCUCGUAGGCGGCUUGUCACGUCGAUUGUGAAAGCCCGAGGCUUAACCUCGGGUCUGCAGUCGAUACGGGCUAGCUAGAGUGUGGUAGGGGAGAUCGGAAUUCCUGGUGUAGCGGUGAAAUGCGCAGAUAUCAGGAGGAACACCGGUGGCGAAGGCGGAUCGCUGGGCCUUACCUGACGCUGAGACGCGAAAGCGUGGGGAGCGAACAGG
rnacentral:rRNA from 1 species